rnacentral:tRNA from 1 species
AUUUUAGUAAAAGUUUAUUAUAAGACUUUGAUGAGGUCUAGUUAUUAUAGUA